rnacentral:lncRNA from 1 species
CGCAUUAAAUAUAAGAGAACAACGACACAACACUAAAAUGUAACACACACAGAAACGGACCAAGCAUCAGACAAAAUCCCACGAGAAUAACAAAUAUAACAUCAAAACCAAAUACAUGAAUUUAGGAUAGACAAGUACCGUGACACGUCUUAUCGCAAUGUGAAUUUACACUCAAAAAUAAGAGAAAACAAACGACGCAACGUUAAAAUGUAACAC